UCAAAAGCUAAACCUCCCAUUGGAGAACAGAAAAUUUAAUGAGCUUUUAAUGGAAUGCAAUGCUCAGAGUAGUAAAUUAUUUGUUAGUUGACGAUGCAAUCAGCAUGCUGAUUAAGGUUGCUUGGUUUUUUACUAAACAUUAACUGAAUGAAAACGGGUAGUCCUUGUUCUGCUUGGGGGGCUUUAAGGAAGCAAAUGGACUUUCAGAACAGAGAUUGUCAAUAAAGGAAUACCCAUCUCGAGUUCUGGAUAUGUCCUCUGAGAAGGUGCCCAUGUCACCGACCACACUGGAGGCCAAUGCAGAUACUGGGGGAAGGUUCCAUGGUAGCUAAGUGUGGACAAGCUAAUCACUGAAGUUCCCUGAUGCAGAGCUGAUAAUCUCUCUGGAGUUGGAUGGAAGACUGUGCUGCCUUGAAGCUCUGAGAGAUGCCAUGCCAAUUCAAGGCAAGGUCUUUAUUGUUGAAACUCUUGUGUAAUGACAUCUUUAUUCAGGUGAAAAUACAGGAUGAAUUUCAACUGUAUGAUAUUGUUUAUGUUCAUCAGACAUGUUAUUUGUCUUUACAAAGAUUGGUUUCAAUAAACUGGCUGUGUGACUGAUAUUAAAUAAACAUGGAAUUUUACACAUUCAUAA